UUCCGUAGGUGAACCUGCGGAGGGAUCAUUACCGAGUUUACAACUCCCAAACCCCUGUGAACAUACCUAUACGUUGCCUCGGCGGAUCAGCCCGCGCCCUGUAAAAAGGGACGGCCCGCCCGAGGACCCUAAACUCUGUUUUUAGUGGAACUUCUGAGUAAAACAAACAAAUAAAUCAAAACUUUCAACAACGGAUCUCUUGGUUCUGGCAUCGAUGAAGAACGCAGCAAAAUGCGAUAAGUAAUGUGAAUUGCAGAAUUCAGUGAAUCAUCGAAUCUUUGAACGCACAUUGCGCCCGCCAGUAUUCUGGCGGGCAUGCCUGUUCGAGCGUCAUUUCAACCCUCAAGCUCAGCUUGGUGUUGGGACUCGCGGUAACCCGCGUUCCCCAAAUCGAUUGGCGGUCACGUCGAGCUUCCAUAGCGUAGUAAUCAUACACCUCGUUACUGGUAAUCGUCGCGGCCACGCCGUAAAACCCCAACUUCUGAAUGUUGACCUCGGAUCAGGUAGGAAUACCCGCUGAACUUAAGCAUAUCAAUAA
rnacentral:rRNA from 1 species